rnacentral:rRNA from 1 species
UACAGAGGGUGCUAGCGUUGUUCGGAAUCAUUGGGCGUAAAGGGCGUGUAGGCGGUUUGUUAAGUCAUGUGUGAAAUCCCUCGGCUCAACCGGGGAAGGACGCAUGAAACUGGCAAGCUAGAGUACCAAAGAGGGGGGUGGAAUUCCCGGUGUAGCGGUGAAAUGCGUAGAUAUCUGGAGGAACACCGGUGGCGAAGGCGGCGUUCUGGACUGCAACUGACACUGAGGAACGAAAGCCAGGGGAGCAAACGGG